rnacentral:rRNA from 1 species
CCUACGGGGGACAGCAGUGAGGAAUAUUGGUCAAUGGGCGCGAGCCUGAACCAGCCAAGUAGCGUGAAGGAUGACUGCCCUACGGGUUGUAAACUUCUUUUAUAAAGGAAUAAAGUGAGGCACGUGUGCCUUUUUGUAUGUACUUUAUGAAUAAGGAUCGGCUAACUCCGUGCCAGCAGCCGCGGUAAUACGGAGGAUCCGAGCGUUAUCCGGAUUUAUGGGGUUGAAAGGGAGCGUAGAUGGGUUGUUAAGUCAGUUGUGAAAGGUUGCGGCUCAACCGUAAGAAUGCAAUUGAUACUGGCAGUCUUGAGUACAGGUGAGGUAGGCGGAAUUCGAGGUGUAGCGGUGAAAUGCGUAGAUAUCACGAAGAACUCCGAUUGCGAAGGCAGCUUACUAAACUGCCACUGACAUUGAUGCUCGAAAGUGUGGGUAGCAAACAGGAUUAGAUACCCCAGUAGUC